rnacentral:rRNA from 1 species
UACGGAGGGUGCAAGCGUUAUCCGGAUUCACUGGGUUUAAAGGGUGCGUAGGUGGGCAGGUAAGUCAGUGGUGAAAUCUCCGGGCUUAACCCGGAAACUGCCUUGAUACUAUCUGUCUUGAAUACCGUGGAGGUGAGCGGAAUAUGUCAUGUAGCGGUGAAAUGCUUAGAUAUGACAUAGAACACCAAUUGCGAAGGCAGCUCACUACACGAAUAUUGACACUGAGGCACGAAAGCGUGGGGAUCAAACAGG